rnacentral:rRNA from 1 species
UACGUAGGGGGCUAGCGUUGUCCGGAUUUAUUGGGCGUAAAGAGCGUGUAGGCGGCCAGGUAGGUCUGGUGUGAAAACUCGAGGCUUAACCUCGAGAUGUCAUCGGAAACCAUUUGGCUAGAGUCCGGAAGAGGAGAGUGGAAUUCCUGGUGUAGCGGUGAAACGCGCAGAUAUCAGGAAGAACACCAAUGGCGAAAGCAGCUCUCUGGGACGGUACUGACGCUGAGACGCGAAAGCGUGGGGAGCGAACAGG